CGAGGGGUAACAUAGAAAAGCUUGCUUUUCUGAUGACGACCGGCGCACGGGUGCGUAACGCGUAUACAACCUACCUUUUAGCGGGGAAUAGCCCAGGGAAACUUGGAUUAAUGCCCCAUAGUAUAUAGACUUCUCCUGAAGUUUAUAUUAAACAUUUAUGGCUAUUAGAUGGGUAUGCGUCCUAUUAGUUAGUUGGUAAGGUAACGGCUUACCAAGGCAGCGAUAGGUAGGGGUCCUGAGAGGGAGAUCCCCCACACUGGUACUGAGACACGGACCAGACUCCUACGGGAGGCAGCAGUGAGGAAUAUUGGACAAUGGGCGAGAGCCUGAUCCAGCCAUGCCGCGUGCAGGAAGACUGCCCUAUGGGUUGUAAACUGCUUUUACAGAGGAAGAACCACCCCCACGUGUGGGGGUUUGACGGUACUCUGCGAAUAAGGAUCGGCUAACUCCGUGCCAGCAGCCGCGGUAAUACGGAGGAUCCAAGCGUUAUCCGGAAUCAUUGGGUUUAAAGGGUCCGUAGGCGGGCAGUUAAGUCAGUGGUGAAAGUCUUCCGCUCAACGGGAGAACUGCCAUUGAUACUGAUUGUCUUGAGUUAUUAUGAAGUGGUUAGAAUGAGUAGUGUAGCGGUGAAAUGCAUAGAUAUUACUCAGAAUACCGAUUGCGAAGGCAGAUCACUAAUAAUAUACUGACGCUGAUGGACGAAAGCGUAGGUAGCGAACAGGAUUAGAUACCCUGGUAGUCUACGCCGUAAACGAUGGUUACUAGCUGUUCGGCUCAAUUGAGGGCUGAGUGGUUAAGCGAAAGUGAUAAGUAACCCACCUGGGGAGUACGUUCGCAAGAAUGAAACUCAAAGGAAUUGACGGGGGCCCGCACAAGCGGUGGAGCAUGUGGUUUAAUUCGAUGAUACGCGAGGAACCUUACCAGGGCUUAAAUGUAGUCUGACAGGUCUGGAAACAGACUUUUCUUCGGACAGAUUACAAGGUGCUGCAUGGUUGUCGUCAGCUCGUGCCGUGAGGUGUCAGGUUAAGUCCUAUAACGAGCGCAACCCCUGUGGUUAGUUGCCAGCGAGUAAUGUCGGGAACUCUAGCCAGACUGCCGGUGCAAACCGCGAGGAAGGUGGGGAUGACGUCAAAUCAUCACGGCCCUUACGUCCUGGGCCACACACGUGCUACAAUGGUAGGGACAGAGAGCAGCCACUUCGCGAGAAGGAGCGAAUCUACAAACCCUAUCACAGUUCGGAUCGCAGUCUGCAACUCGACUGCGUGAAGCUGGAAUCGCUAGUAAUCGCAUAUCAGCCAUGAUGCGGUGAAUACGUUCCCGGGCCUUGUACACACCGCCCGUCAAGCCAUGGAAGCCGGGGGUACCUGAAGUCGGUCAC
rnacentral:rRNA from 1 species